CUUCACAGUUGCUCAAAGCUGUUUCUGGGUGUGGUGAUUGCAGUGCUUCUCUUGCCUCAGAAAGGCCAUUAAACCUCAGAGCUUCAAACCUCAUUGCAGCCAAUUUUCAUGGAAGCAGAUAUUGACAGCUGGGAGGAAUCCUUCCGGCACCCUGAAGGAAGGCUGAGGAAAACACCCUUGCAAGUACUAAAAUUUGAUUGAAUGGACCAACUUGCAAGAGCUGCUGAUUUUGAAAAUGAGAUUGAGACUUCACUGGAUAAAGUCAACCAUUGUUAAGACAAGUAGAACAUUGUACAACACAAUAAACUUCACAUUAGGAAUUUCUUCAAAGAUACACCCAUAUUCAAGUCAAGUCUUAACUAUAGUUUAGAUAUAUGAAAUUUAGCACUGAGUAGUGAAGAAACAGGUAGUGACCAAAAAGAGGAAAUAUGUAAAAUAGAAAGAUAGCCUCUUUUUAAAUAAUAAGUGAGAAAAUUGUUUUUAGCACGAUAAAUAUUUGAACUUGGAGAGAAACAGAAAGAAAUAUUGGCAAAAUAAAAUAAAAAUGAAACAAAUCAAAACGAUACCACAGUGCUAUUACUACCACCAACAAUAACAGAAAAGAAAAGUCUCUUAUCUUUCAAGUUUUAAGACAGUGUUAAUAAUCCAUUUUCCCUUCCAUUAUUCAAAACUACUAGAACCUGAUCCUGAAGACCAAGAAGGAAGCAAAACACAAGCAGAGACAUUGAGA